AGCCCUUAGAAAUAAAAAACACAUAUUUCCCGCGACACUAGAGAGAGAGAGAGAGAGAGAGAGAGAGAGAGAGAGGGUGUGAGAUCAUCGAAUCAUUGAAUAUGAAUCAGAAAUUCGGAGGAGGAAGACAACCUACGGGGACUCCGUCGCUGGCGUGGUCGUGCGUUGUUGUCGUCGUCUCGCUCCUUGCUGGCGCAUCUGUUGUCCACAACAUAUAUAAGCCUAAUCUUACAUUGCCUCCGGUGGAGAGUGUUCACGAGACUAAGCCGAAACAACAAUCUGAGAAAGAAUGAUAUAUGGUCUUUUAGCUAUAAUGUUGGAGCUGGUUUUUGUUUCUGGAUAGAUAGAUCAACACGACAAUGUAUGUGGCCUAUCUUUGAAGCCAAAUCCAAGUUUCAAAAUUUUUGCGUGUUUUUCAGCUACAUUUAAUUGUUACGAUCAUUUUCUUUUUUAAUACCCAGAACCGUAACAUUGUAAUUGCUACUGUGUUUAAUAAGGAUUAGUUUUACUUUUAUCCCCAAACACUAACAGACAUAUAUGUUCGCUUUGCUAGUUGUUUCUACCAUAUGUCUGAGUAUGCACUUAAGAUGUUCGAAGAAAUAACUGAAUGAAAGUUAGGUAUGUUUUUAGUUUGGUUUCCA